AUUGAACGCUGGCGGCAGGCCUAACACAUGCAAGUCGAGCGGAUGAAGGGAGCUUGCUCCUGGAUUCAGCGGCGGACGGGUGAGUAAUGCCUAGGAAUCUGCCUGGUAGUGGGGGAUAACGUCCGGAAACGGGCGCUAAUACCGCAUACGUCCUGAGGGAGAAAGUGGGGGAUCUUCGGACCUCACGCUAUCAGAUGAGCCUAGGUCGGAUUGGCUAGUUGGUGGGGUAAAGGCCUACCAAGGCGACGAUCCGCAACUGGUCUGAGAGGAUGAUCAGUCACACUGGAACUGAGACACGGUCCAGACUCCUACGGGAGGCAGCAGUGGGGAAUAUUGGACAAUGGGCGAAAGCCUGAUCCAGCCAUGCCGCGUGUGUGAAGAAGGUCUUCGGAUUGUAAAGCACUUUAAGUUGGGAGGAAGGGCAGUAAGUUAAUACCUUGCUGUUUUGACGUUACCAACAGAAUAAGCACCGGCUAACUUCGUG
rnacentral:rRNA from 1 species